AUGGCCACGGCAAAUAGCCUGAAGAAAAAGCAGCAGCAGCUUCAAGCUGAUCAAGAUCUGCUAGCUGACAAAUGGACUGAAGUCCUCGUGACCGAGGAAUAUAAACUCGAGCGCCCCUCCAAGAGUUACCCAAGGCGCAGGUUACUACCCCGACUGGAGGAAGAAGCGUAUGAGACGGCUGAUCGGCCACCUCGUGGCCGCGAUAGAGAGGCAUUUCAGCCAAAAGCUCAGCCUCAACCCCAACACCAUUCAAAUAAAAAGGCAUGGAGAGAUACGCCAGACCUGCGAGACAUGUUGGAGGACAAGGCAAAGCAUUUAAGAUCGAUCUACGGAUCAAGAGGGCGCACCAUUCUGCGAGACGACAAACGUCACGUCGGAUACAGUAAAAGCAAAUCCAGCCGGACCGAACACAGCGGGCAAGACCCAUUUGAGCUGCAUCGAGAUAUAGCCCAAUACAGAGGCGCCGCACACCCCUUAUGCUUCAUAGACGAAGUAAUAGAACAUCAAUUCCCAGAAGGUUUCAAACCUGUAAAUAUUGAAUCAUACGACGGUACAAAAGAUCUCGCAGUAUGGAUUGAGGACUUCCUCCUCCACAUCCAC
rnacentral:rRNA from 1 species